GACGAACGCUGGCGGCGUGCCUAAUACAUGCAAGUAGAACGCAGUUGCGAACGGGUGAGUAAAGCGUAGGUAACUGCCUCAUAGCGGGGGAUAACUAUUGGGAACGAUAGCUAAUACCGCAUACUGUGAGAUGGACCUGCGUUGUAUUAGCUAGUUGGGGAGGUAAAGGGUCACCAAGGCGACGAUACAUAGCGUGCCUGGGAGGGUGGUCGGCCACACUUGGACUGAGACAACGCCCAGACUCCUACGGGGUGCAGCAGGAGGGAAUCUUCGGAAAUGGACGGAAGUCUUACCGAGCAACGCCGGGUGAGUGAAGAAGGGUUUCGGAUCUUAAAGCUCUGUUGUUAGAGAAGCGGUAACUACCCAGAAAGGGACGGCUAACUACGUGCCAGCAGCCGCGGUAAUUC
rnacentral:rRNA from 1 species